AGCCACUGAGAGAAGAACGGGCUGGGACCGUGAUGGGGCGCCCCGGGGCCCACGCUCGCGCCGGCAUGCGUGUCAGUCUUUUAAGAACCAAGAGUCAACUGAAAUGCCUGAAGUAGGAUUACCAGAAUCAUUAUUGGAAAAACUCAUUGGAGAUAUUUCCCAGGGCCCCAUGUUGGUGAAUAAUCUUAUCCAAAAGAUCAGAGAACUCACAAUGGAAAUACUCCUUACACAUUGGACUGUGGAAAGGACUUCAUGAACUAUUCACAUCUUAUUACUCAUAAAAGAAUUCAUAAUAGAGAGAGACUCUAAGAAUGUAAGGAAUGUAAGAUCUUCAGCAGGAAGUCUGACCUCAUUAGACAUCAGAGAGUUCACAUUGGAGAGAAACCUUAUAAAUGCAAAGAAUUUGGCAAAGCCUAUAGCCAAAGUUCACCCUUUACUGUACAUCAGAAAAUUCACACUGCAGAGAAACCUUAUAAUUGUAGCGAAUUUGGAAAAGCCUUCAACCAGAGCUCAGCUCUUAUUGUACACCAGAGGAUUCACACUGGAGAGAAACCUUUUAAUUGUAAAGAAUAUGCAAAGUCAUUUGACUAGAGCUCGGGUCUUACUGUAUGCCAGAGAAUACACACUGGAGAGAAACCUUACAUUUGUGGGGAAUGUGGGAAGGCCUUCAACCAUAGCUCAGCUCUUAUUGUGCAUCAGAGCAUUCACAGUGGAGAGACGCCUUAUAAAUGUAGUCAACGUGGGAAGGCUUUUAGCCAGAGCUCAGCCCUUAUUGUGCAUAAAAGUAUUCACACUGGAGAGAAACAUUAUCAAUGUAAGGAAUGUGGGAAGUUCUUCUUUUGGCAUUCAUACUUCAUUCAACACCGUAAAAUCCAUACUAGAGAGAAACCUUAUGAAUGUAAGGAAUGUGGGAAGGCCAUUAGCCAGAGCUCUGCCCUUACUUUACAUCAGAGAAUUCAUACUGGUGAGAAAGCUUAUACAUGUGGGAACUGUGGGAAGGCCUUCAGUCAGAGCUCAGCCCUUAUUGAACAUCACUGGAGAGAAGUAUAAUAAAUGUAAGCAAUGUGGGAAUGCCUUUAAUAGAAAAUCACUCCUCAUUUAGCAUCAAAAUUCACACUGGAGAGAAACUCUUUAAAUUUAAGAAAACAUGGACAAAAUUGUAUGAAAUGAUGCAGAGUGAAGACUGUAAAGCUAAAAAUACAAAGUACAUGUGAGAAAAUCAAAUUGAUUCCAUUUUGGAAUUGGUUCAAUUCUGUAUCAUCAUGGAAUGUUUAUGUAAGAUGACUAGUCACAUUUCACUGUGUUUGAGUUAACUUUGGAAGUGCAGCUUUCCUGUAAAUCACUCAUUGUUUCUGAGCUAAGUUUAGAAGCUAAUCACUUUUCUGUUCUUGUGUCAAGGAAAUGUUAUCCUUGAAGGAUGCAGGUAGAUGCCAGGGAGACUGGUCUGUUAUCUCUAUACCCACUGGCUGUCCUUUGAGAAAUGUCUGGCCUGAUAUCACUGUGACACUAACUAGCCGUGCAGGUUGAUACCACCAAUGCACUUUUCAUAAGAGAGGUUGUUGCUAGCCCUCUAUUCCAAAUUUCUGGCCAAUCAUUGUUUUCCGUAUCUGUGAUGCUACCUUCUAUUUUUUGGAUGCUCCAUCCUUUGUCUAUAAAAAUGGCCUGUCAUCCCUCAUUUGAAGUCUUUUGGGUUGCUGAGGGGCCAAAGACCCCCUUUUAUUGCUAACUGCUAGCCUCACCAAUAAAUUGAACUGCUACUUUACCUUCUUCUCCAUUGUGAUGACUACAGCAAUAUCAAUAAAGAUGGUGCUGGAA